AUUGCAGAACUUGUAUUCCAUGAUCCCUAGCCUUUUAGCUGUAGAGAGAGGCAUAAGGCUAACAUAUGCUCCCAAAUCACAAAGGCACCUAUUGAAUGUCAAUG
rnacentral:sRNA from 1 species